AUACUGAUCUAGUUCAAAGUAAAAACAUGAAGAAUUUAUUACCAUAAUCAUCAUUAUUGUUAUUUAGAUUUAUUCAUAUCACAUUUAAUGAUUUAGUCUGUAAAGAUCGACCUCGAGUUAACAUGAUAUUCCAACGGACCCAAAAAUUAGAAGUUGCAAACCUUGUUCUGGUCCUAGAGGAAACGUACUUGCAAAUCGGCAAAGUGAGUACAGAGCUUUGAACUACAUAGAAUAUGCCGGUGGGAAGCACUCCAAUUAUGUGUCAUGUAUUUUAUUAAGUAGGCAUGUAAACAUUGUCAAAGCCAAAAUAUUCAUACACAGACGUGGGUAUACUUCUUAAUUGGUUUCCUCAAGUGAUUAGUGUGUGUUCAGACGAAAGUAACUAUUUGAUUAGUACAAAUACAUAUAACUUUUAAAAGGAUUAGAGCACAAUGAUGAAGGAUAUCAAAGACUAAAAGUUAUAUGCCCUAAAUGUGUAGAAAUAAACAAAAUCAAAGCAAAUAUUAUCACUAAACAGAAGGUAUGAAACAAUACAUAAAUCAAAAAAGUUAAGUUGAAAAUAUUAAAACAUGUAAACUGAUCAAAAGGAGGAGAUAACUAACUUGCAUAAUAAUCUUUUGGAGUAGAUUAUAACUGAACUUUUGUA
rnacentral:lncRNA from 1 species